UACGUAGGGUGCAAGCGUUAAUCGGAAUUACUGGGCGUAAAGCGUGCGCAGGCGGUUGUGCAGACAGAUGUGAAAUCCCCGGGCUCACCGUGGAACUGCAUUUGUGACUGCACGGCUGGAGUGCGGCAGAGGGGGAUGGAAUUCCGCGUGUAGCAGUGAAAUGCGUAGAUAUGCGGAGGAACACCGAUGGCGAAGGCAAUCCCCUGGGCCUGCACUGACGCUCAUGCACGAAAGCGUGGGGAGCGAAACAAGG
rnacentral:rRNA from 1 species